rnacentral:rRNA from 1 species
AUCCGGUUGAUCCUGCCGGACCUGACUGCUAUCGGAUUGAUACUAAGCCAUGCGAGUCAUUGUAGCAAUACAAGGCAGACGGCUCAGUAACGCGUAGUCAACCUACCCUAUGGACGGGAAUAACCUCGGGAAACUGAGUAUAAUGCCCGAUAGAACAUUAUGCCUGGAAUGGUUUAUGUUCCAAAUGAUUUAUCGCCGUAGGAUGGGACUGCGGCCUAUCAGUUUGUUGGUGAGGUAAUGGCCCACCAAGACUAUUACAGGUACGGGCUCUGAGAGGAGUAGCCCGGAGAUGGGUACUGAGACACGGACCCAGGCCCUAUGGGGCGCAGCAGGCGAGAAAACUUUGCAAUGUGCGAAAGCACGACAAGGUUAAUCCGAGUGGUUUCUGCUAAAGGAACCUUUUGUUAGUCCUAAAAACACUAACGAAUAAGGGGUGGGCAAGUUCUGGUGUCAGCCGCCGCGGUAAAACCAGCACCUCAAGUGGUCAGGAUGAUUAUUGGGCCUAAAGCAUCCGUAGCCUGCUCUGUAAGUUUUCGGUUAAAUCUGUAUGCUUAACAUACAGGCCGCCGGAAAUACUGCAGGGCUAGGGAGUGGGAGAGGUAGACGGUACUCGGGAGGAAGUGGUAAAAUGCUUUGAUCUUUCGAUGACCACCUGUGGCGAAGGCGGUCUGCCAGAACACGU